rnacentral:lncRNA from 1 species
CGGAGACAGCAGUAGACACAAGGGCUUGCCAAGAUGCAGUAUCUUCCAGAAGCCACUCUAAGACUGUAGGCAGAGGAGCCCUGUGACCAGGUUAGAGAGGGCAGCGAGUCUACCGCCCAGAGAAACCACUGGAAGUAGAGAAAACCAGAGGCAGGAAGCUCAGCUGGCUGAGGCCCUAACAGAGCAAGAGGCCUGACCUUCACACCUAU